rnacentral:rRNA from 1 species
GACGAACGCUGGCGGCGUGCUUAACACAUGCAAGUCGAGCGGUAAGGCCCUUGUGGGGGUACACGAGCGGCGAACGGGUGAGUAACACGUGGGUGACCUGCCCUCAGCUCUGGGAUAAGCCUGGGAAACUGGGUCUAAUACUGGAUAUGACCUUUCCUCGCAUGGGGUUGGGUGGAAAGUUUUUCGGCUGGGGAUGGGCCCGCGGCCUAUCAGCUUGUUGGUGGGGUGAUGGCCUACCAAGGCGACGACGGGUAGCCGGCCUGAGAGGGCGACCGGCCACACUGGGACUGAGACACGGCCCAGACUCCUACGGGAGGCAGCAGUGGGGAGUCUUGCGCAAUGGGCGAAAGCCUGACGCAGCGACGCCGCGUGCGGGAAGAAGGCCUU